AUGAAUUGUCUGGUGUGAAACUGCCGGGGAAUUGGGGGUUUCCGGACAGUUCAAGAUCUUGUAUCUCUCAACUCUAUUCACCACCCAGUUUUAUUUUUUUGUGAAACUAGGCAAAAUAAAGAGAAAGUUAAGCGUUUGUGCAGACGUUUGGGUCUUUGUGGCUUUGCCGGAAUGAGUAGUGUUGGUUACAGUGGAGGUUUAGCUCUACUUUGGGAUGAUCAAAUGCUUGUAGAGGUUAAAUAUAUUAAUGUGAGAGAUAUUGACAUGUAUGUGCGAGUCUCUCCGGAUGAUGUGCAAUGGAGACUGAUCUACGUUUAUGGAGAGCCCAGAGUUGAAAAUAGACACUUGAUGUGGGACAAACUUCGUAAACUGAAAGCCACGUCCAAUCUCCCUUAG
rnacentral:rRNA from 1 species